UACGGAGGGUGCGAGCGUUGUCCGGAAUCACUGGGCGUAAAGGGCGCGUAGGUGGCCCGGUCAGUUCGUGGUGAAAGCGCGGGGCUCAACCCUGCGUCGGCCAUGAAUACUGCCGCGGCUGGAGCACUGUAGAGGCAGGCGGAAUUCCGGGUGUAGCGGUGGAAUGCGUAGAGAUCCGGAAGAACACCGGUGGCGAAGGCGGCCUGCUGGGCGAGUUGCUGACACUGAGGCGCGACGAGCGUGGGGAGCAAACAGG
rnacentral:rRNA from 1 species